ACCCUUCCAGCUACAGCUCCCUCCGGUGCCCCAGAACCGCCCGGCACUCCGGGGCUCCCAGGUUCAUCUGGGCAUGACUCCGCCCUCCCGACAGAGCCCUCUGCACACCCCCUCCCCACCCUGGCCCAUCGCAGCUCUUCACGAAGACGCUUCAUGGAAUGGGUGAUUUUCCUAAGCACUUUUCUUUCCAUGAUCUCAUUUGGUCCUCACAGCACCUGGAGGAGGGCAGACAGGCUGUUGCUCCAUUUUACAGAUUUUCCAGACCAGGCUUUCUGAGAGGCUGUUAAUGAGCCAAACCAUUCUGCUAACCGUCGUUUUCAGAAGGGCCACCCGGCUCACGGUUCUCUUUAUUCAGGCAAAGCCAUCAAGACCCCGGGUCUUCCUCUGUGGCCCAGGCUGGAGUGCAGUAGCGCAAUCUCGGCUCACUGCAACCUCCACUUCCCGGGUUCAAGCGAUUCUCCUGCCUCAGCCUCCUGAGUAGCUGGGAUUACAAGCUCCUGCCACCAUGCCCAGCUAAUUUUUGUAUUUUUAGUAGACAUGGGGUUUCACCAUGUUGGCCAGGCUGGUCUCAAACUCCUGACCUCAAGUGAUUCACCCU
ensembl:lncRNA LINC02176 long intergenic non-protein coding RNA 2176